CAGAGGGCGGGUCUUAAUUUUCUUCUUUCCCGAUCAGGGUUCCGUGGCUCUUCGGUGUCCCGGACCUGAUCCGAAGGGGCUCCAAGCAGUCCUUAGGAGACCCCCCGUACCUUGACCGACUUUGUAAAGACUCAAAAAAAAAAAAUAAUAAUAAUAAAUAAUAUUUAUUUUAAGUGGUGGGACCCACUUACUUUAUUAUUUGGCAGCCUUUCCCUUUUUCUUCUCUUUCUUUUCUUUUCUUUUUCUUUCCUUUUCCUUCCCGAGCACAUCUCCUUCUUCUUCUUCUGUUUUUUUCUUCUUUUUCUCUCUGCAACAACCCACGUCGGGGUAUCACGAAGCCUUGGCCGAAGUUCCAUUUUGCCGCCACGCGCCGGAGUUGGAGCACCAGUGGCCGGCGACAACCUCAUCCCCAAAACCUCAAGGCCAUCGGACUUAAGACGCACCCGAACGGAGCAGUCAAAGUUUCGUUGUCAAAACUUUGACCGCACUUUCCGGCGAACCCAGACCUCCGUUUGGUGAGUGGGUGGCACCGUUGGAACCAGUGUGAAGGGAGGAACGUCGCCCACUAAGUCAUUUCAGUCAACUCACCGUUUUUCUCCGGCGAAAUUUUGGGUAUCUCCGCCCCUUCGGAGGCAUUUUCCGGCGACACCAGAGGUCAGUUGAGCAAAGGGGUUGUACUUCCGUGAUGUACUACUCGAGAGGAUCGUUUUGAUAUAUGAUAUGCACAUAUUCGUCGACGUUCCCGGUACCGCUAUCAACUGCUAGUGUGCACCGCUUGGGAAAAUCGUGAUAUAUAGAUCCAAUUUAAUUCGCUCUAGGAUAAUCGUUAAGCUUGGGAGUGUCCCUUGGGGCUCGGACUGAACAUUCUUAAGAGGUAGGGACUCAACUUGACUAUUGGACUUGUUGUACUCUUAUUGAAUUGCAUUAACAUAUUCCAAUUUUGAUAUUUAUAAAGUGUUUGAAAAAUGGAAAACUUAAUCUGCAUAUUUUCUGUUCUGUUCUGAGGGCACGGAGUGCCAAAUAUAUUAUUUUGCUCACUUAAUUAUGCAGGUUAUGAUUUUUGGGUUUUAUACAAAUGCAGCUGUUAUGCUGCCCAAUUUUCUAAAAUAAAAAGGGAAUAUGUUUAUUUCUUCUCGUGUUUACCUGCAUUUGGUUAUAUCGAUGAGAGCCAUAGUGAUCAUGAUUUGUGCAUGUUGUUGUUUCACGACCUAGUCUCUGUGUCAUCAUAGGUAGAUCAGGUGUCCACUCACCUGUAGGUGUAAAGACCUAGCAUCUGUAUACAGGAAGUGUUCUGAGCCUCCCCAUUGUGGUGGUUAUCAGGUCCGGCUACCCGGUUUAGGAUGUCGGAUUUUCUAUGGUGGGUAACGGGAACUAGGGGUCUAGUGGACUGGGUGAUGUGCACUGGUAGCUAUGCUCUUAUGAUUACUUAUGGUUUCUCUCUAUUUUGGUUUAUACAUGAUGAUGUAUGUUUUGUUUUAAAAAGCUAACCAUGCAGGGGUUUUUAUUGAACUUUUGAGUCCUAUGUUCUUAGUUGCUUUCCUACUGGGCUUUAUAAGCUCACCCCCUAUAUCUCUCCCAUUCCAGGAUCCUAGUGACGCAAAACAUGGAUAAGGUGAAUUAUCGCUGAAGCUAAUGUGUUUAGCUCCCUAGUCCUAUCUUUUGAGCAUUUUGUAUUUAAUUUGGAACCUAUCGGUCUGUAUAUCUAAGUUAGCUAUGUAAUAGUUAGACAUGAGGAAUGGUGGAUGCUAAGUAUUAUUAUGGUGUUUUAUGACUAAUUAAAUUUAACUAUUUGGUGACUACAUAACUGUGGGGAUAUUAUUGUUCUAUGUAUUAAGAUAAAUGAUCCUA